rnacentral:rRNA from 1 species
UACGGAGGAUGCAAGCGUUAUCCGGAAUGAUUGGGCGUAAAGCGUCCGCAGGUGGCUAUGUAAGUCUGCUGUUAAAGAGUGAGGCUCAACCUCAUAAGAGCAGUGGAAACUACAUGGCUAGAGUGCGUUCGGGGCAGAGGGAAUUCCUGGUGUAGCGGUGAAAUGCGUAGAUAUCGCUUGGAACGCCGAAGGUGAAAACAGGUCGCUGGGGAUGUGCCGACGCUGAGACACGAAAGCCAGGGGAGCAAACGGG